rnacentral:lncRNA from 1 species
CUGAGUCCCCGUACCAGCCUGUCUCAGCACUUUCAGAGCCAGAGCUUUUUCUCUUCAUAAGCUCUAGGUUUUUUUACAGGCCACUGAGUCUGAGUGGAGCUGUAUCCAGAAUUAUAGAAAGCAGCAGCCACCUGUCACCAGGACAUUGUGCACAGUGGCUGGGGGUGGGGAGCUGAUUGCAGGGCAUUUCUGAGAAGCAGGGCCCUGUGCUUAUCCAUUUGCAAACACGGGAAAUGAUGACAGUGGUUGGAAGCUUUGAAGAGACAGGGGGAAGGGGAAAGAGAGAAGCCAGAAAGAAAAGGAUUGGGGGCUAAAAGAGACCUUGUCCAGAAAAGACUGAUAAAUUCUUCUUUUCAGAUUCCUUGAUCACUGUGCUGGAACAAUGAGACUCACCCUGAAGUGAUUGAUCAGGGGGCACUGCUCUCACAGGGACCCAAGGAGAAGGGAGAAGUCUCAGCCACAGCAACUGUGCUCGUUGUCAAAGGUGUGCACGAGUAUGUCCUAGUCACCAGCCCAAAUACACCUCAAGCCUUUCAUCAAUUCCACAGUGCCAUGCCUCAGCAAAAUCAUACUGAUUUUUAUCCAUGUGGCAUUUCUACAUGAAUUUACAUCAAAAUGAAGAAAAAGUCCAGGAUUUUUUUUGACGGACAUAAUUUACAAGACACAAGAUUUUUUGUAAAGAGUGGAUCAGGGCAGUUACUCCCAUCUCAAGGCCUUUUCUUCCUCCCUCUGGGAUAGGCUGCCUUCUCCACACACCACUGGUACCCAGAAAAGAAUGGUUCUUCUGUUUGUCUGGCCGACUGCAUAUUGCAUCCAUUGCUCCAUUCAGCCUGUCUUUUCAGGUCUGGUAGCUGCUGUACAACUUCGCUUUUGUGCUCCACUGCCAGGCCUUUUCUGAAGCCAGACGCUUUUUGAAAGGAGGGUAUAUUUGCAUAAACAAUACCAAGUGAGGAGGUCUGCUGGAAAGAAAAUCAAAAUUCAGCUGAGCGAAUCUUCCUGAACAACUCAUUUCUUGCAACCAACACCUCCUAUCGUUACCAUCUGUGUACUAAAUUAUGGCCGAAAACGUGUGCCGCUCUCUCUUUUCACUUGCUCUUGUGUACAGAUUCCUCAUAUCAGCUGAAGUAUAUUUUGUUUUCAAAUUUAGUCUGAACAGAGAUCCUUAAACAGAAUUCAGUAUAUGGAAUGAGGAAAAUAUGGUUCUGUUAAAUAAGGAACAGAAGGCCAGCCAUGCAUCAGCUAGCUUGCAACCCAGAUUGGAUUUGUACUGAAGGCUCAUCAAAAUGCAUAUCUGAAACAAGAUCUACGCAUCAGCUUGCUGAGAUUUCAUGUCAGUGAUGGCAGGGCAGCUUUAUCAGAGCAGUGCAGGGAGAAGAAGGCUUACUGCUGUGGCUGAUAGCUGAAGGAAUCAUUCUGGAAAAUAUGUG